rnacentral:rRNA from 1 species
GACGAACGCUGGCGGCGUGCCUAAUACAUGCAAGUAGGACGCAGUUGCGAACGGGUGAGUAACGCGUAGGUAACUACCUAUUAGAGGGGGAUAACUAUUGGAAACGAUAGCUAAUACCGCAUACUAGUAGAUGGACCUGCGUUGUAUUAGCUAGUUGGUAGGGUAAUGGCCUACCUAGGCCACGAAACAUAGCCGACCUGAGAGGGGGGUGCGCCACACUGGGACCGGGACAACGCCCAGCAUCCUACGGGAGGCAGCAGUAGGGAAUCUUCGGCAAUGGGGGGAACCCUGACCGGGCAACGCCGCGUGAGUGAAGGAGGUUUUCGGAUCGUAAAGCUCUGUUGUUAAGGAAGCGGUACUUAACCAGAAAGGGACGGCUAACUACGUGCCAGCAGCCGCGGUAAUAC